rnacentral:rRNA from 1 species
AGUGGCGGACGGGUGAGUAACACGUAAGAAUUUGCCUUUAGGAGGGGGACAACAACUAGAAAUGGUUGCUAAUACCCCAUAUGCUUUCGAGUGAAAUGGAUUUUUCCGCCUAGAGAGAAGCUUGCGGCUGAUUAGCUUGUUGGUGAGGUAAUGGCUCACCAAGGCGACGAUCAGUAUCUGGUUUGAGAGGACGAUCAGACACACUGGAACUGAGACACGGUCCAGACUCCUACGGGAGGCAGCAGUGGGGAAUUUUCCGCAAUGGGCGAAAGCCUGACGGAGCAAUACCGCGUGAGGGAUGACGGCCUAUGGGUUGUAAACCUCUUUUUUCAGGGAGGAAUCAAUGACGUGUACCUGAAGAAUAAGCAUCGGCUAACUCCGUGCCAGCAGCCGCGGUAAGACGGGGGAUGCAAGUGUUAUCCGGAAUCACUGGGCGUAAAGCGUCUGUAGGUGGUCCAAUAAGUCAACUGUUAAAUCUUGAGGCUCAACCUCAAAAUCGCAGUCGAAACUAUUAGACUAGAGUAUAGUAGGGGUAAAGGGAAUUUCCAGUGGAGCGGUGAAAUGCGUAGAGAUUGGAAAGAACACCGAUGGCCAAGGCACUUUACUGGCUAUUACUAACACUCAGAGACGAAAGCUAGGGUAGCAAAUGGGAUUAGAUACCCCAGUAGUCCUAGCCGUAAACAAUGGAUACUAGAUGUUG